ACCGCCUGUCCGCCUCCGUCCUCAUCCGCUCAAGGAUCCCGAUCCGCGCCGCUGGCCGCGACCGUCCGAGCCGCCACCACUGGCGCCAAGCAUCCGACUCCAGCUUGGCCACGGCAACCCCGGACGCGGUAGGCGAAUCUUUUGGCUGGGCCUAGGAGGGCGACGGCGACGCUCGAGAUCUAGCCCAGCGAGGGGCCGCGCCGCUCCCACGCAGGUGCUCCGCCGCUUCGAGAAGCUGGAGAUGGGAAGAAAGAGAGAUGGACAAGUGCUAGAGUUUAUACGAGAGACACUGUCAAAUGCGCACCAUCAUUUGAUUGACUCUUCCAGUUGUCUUCGUUUUCACGGGAGCGCUAGCUUGAAGUUUCUCAAGAAAGUAUCAGACCAUAUAUAUAUCUCCAUGUCCACGUUUCGCUGAGAAAAGGGUCUGCCUUUGUUUCCUUUUAUAUAUUUUAAGACUCUAAGAGAAUCAUCGAGAAGGGAAUAGGACUGGGCAGCGGGGCAGCACAAGUGUAAGUCACUUUAUUUUCUUCCAAGAAAACAAAAUACAUGUACACCGGUUGCUUUCUUUAUUUUUUUGUUAGUGCCAAUGAUUGUGAAAACCAAACAAAAGCAAUACUUAAGAGCUCCGUGCCCUUUUGUUA